UAGCUCAGCUGGGAGAGCAUCUGCCUUACAAGCAGAGGGUCAUAGGUUCGAGCCCUAUAGGUCCCA
rnacentral:tRNA from 5 species